UCUGAUGUAGACAGUUAGCAUCUUCUUAGAGAGACUCUCAUAGGGAGACACAAAUAGUGACUUCUGCGAUUCUGGCUUUGACAUGUGGUCCUUCAGAUGCCUUCCUACUUUGUUGAUGAUAGUUGUUCAGUGGGUGGUGCCUGGAGAAGAAGCAGAGAGCAUUUCUGUGCCAAGCAGCUAUCACGAUAAAAAGAAAGAAAAAAGAAGAAGGAGAAGAAGAGGAGGAGAAGAGAAGAAUAAGAAAUGAAGAAGAAGAAGAAGAAGAAGAAGAAGAAGAAGAAGAAGAAGAAGAAGAAGAAGAAGAAAUUAUAACAAUUUCAAAACCUGACAAUCUAUCUUUUAUUUUUUUCAAGAAAUAUUGUGUUGUCUUCUAUAUCAGCUAUUUCAUUUUGGAAGCCCUUCAGCAGUGCACAAGCAUUCCAGUGUUUCUAUGUCCUCCUCACCAAUUGUUGUUUUCUAUUUUCUUGAUAAUAGCGAUCCUUAUGGGUGUGGGGUGGGGCAUGAUUUGUAAGGAUGAUUUGUUAUUUCUGCUGCUUGUUUAAACAAGACUAUUUCUUUUUUUUUCUGACUCUGGAACCACAGUGGACUUUAGGAAUGAUAUAAAACCAUCUACUGCAUGUCUAUAAGAUUAGAUUAUGGACUUCUCAGUGGAGCUUUUCAAUUGACUCUGAAGGGAUUGUCAUAAAGAAGAGUUCUAGGAAAGUUCUAAACAAUGUCAGCAUUGUUGGACUAAGCGCACACUCCUUUUGUCUCUACUGGAUUCAGUGUGAUUUUAUGCAAGUUCUGGUUUGCUUGCUGCAACGUGUACUCAAACACAUGAAAUGUGAUUUUGUAAUCACAUCUCAUGGUUUUAUACUAAGGAGUCUGAAUAGAUGUUUGGACUCUAGACCUAGUGUUUUCCUAGGUCCUGGAUUAGUUCCAAAGGUAUUAUGAAUUUGUUGGCAAUAUCAGAGACAAGAGUGAGCUGAAUUCAAGUUUGGGACAGAAUUUGUUUCCUCUCACAUUUAAUUAUUAACUGACUUUCAGAAAAUAGAUGGUGGCUGUUCCUAUGGCAACAGAAGCCUUAGAGCAAAAAAAAAUAUUCAACAGCCUGACAUUUUUAGCCAAUUCCAUACUGAGCCAAAUGCUGGUUGGAAAGAACCAAGAAUCAGGGCCAAAUAUACUGUUUCUGGCAGCAGAUUUUCCUUUUUAGCUCCUCGUUCUUCAUUGUUCCUCAAAAGAAAUCAUUCUAGUGCAAUCCUGUAGAUCUUGGCUCCCCGGUCCCCUUCCCCAAAGUCUUGGUGUAUGUGUAUGUCUUCCUACAUGUAUUCCUCUUCCAUCUGUCUAACUCGUCUCUGUCUAACUCUAGAUUUAUGUUCCUCAUAGUUGUCAGUGAAUCAUGGAAAAUAUACUUUUAGCUCAAAAGUGAAAAAUGCCAUUGGAAUAAAAAGAUUCAAUUAUUAAAUGUCCA